GUCUAUGUAGCGCAAUAGAUAGCGCGUUGGAAUUCUAAUCCAAAGGUCAUGGAUUCGAAAUCCACCUGGGAUG